AGGAAGGUGGGGACGACGUCAAGUCAUCAUGGCCCUUACGACCAGGGCUACACACGUGCUACAAUGGCGUAUACAAAGGGAUGCGAAGGUGCGAACUGGAGCGGACCUCACAAAGUACGUCUAAGUCCGGAUUGGGGUCUGCAACUCGACUCCAUGAAGUCGGAAUCGCUAGUAAUCGUGAAUCAGAAUGUCACGGUGAAUACGUUCCCGGGCCUUGUACACACCGCCCGUCACACCAUGGGAGUGGGUUGCACCAGAAGUAGAUAGCUUAACCUUCGGGAGGGCGUUUACCACGGUGUGGUUCAUGACUGGGGUGAAGUCGUAACAAGGUAACCA
rnacentral:rRNA from 1 species